GUGCUCACUUGGGCAGCACAAAUACUAAAAUUGGAACGAUACAGAGAAGAUUAGCAUGGCCCCUGUGAAAGGAUGACACGCAAAUUUAUGAAGUGUUCCGUAUUUUU